rnacentral:rRNA from 1 species
ACGUCAAGUCCUCAUGGCCCUUACGGGCUGGGCUACACACGUGCUACAAUGGCGGUGACAGAGGGGUGCGAAGGGGCGACCCGGAGCCGAUCCCGAAAAGCCGUCUCAGUUCGGAUUGCACUCUGCAACUCGAGUGCAUGAAGUCGGAAUCGCUAGUAAUCGCGUUUCAAUAUAGCGCGGUGAAUACGUCCCUGCUCCUU